GUGAGGAAUAUUGGUCAAUGGGCGCAAGCCUGAACCAGCCAUGCCGGGUGCAGGAAGACGGUCCUAUGGAUUGUAAACUGCUUUUAUUUGGGAAUAAACUCCGGUACGUGUACCGGCCUGAAGGUACCAAAUGAAUAAGCACCGGCUAACUCCGUGCCAGCAGCCGCGGUAAUACGGAGGGUGCAAGCGUUAUCCGGAAUCAUUGGGUUUAAAGGGUCCGCAGGCGGUCUUAUAAGUCAGUGGUGAAAGCCUACAGCUCAACUGUAGAACUGCCAUUGAUACUGUAGGACUUGAAUUCGAUCGAAGUGGGCGGAAUGUGACAUGUAGCGGUGAAAUGCUUAGAUAUGUCACAGAACACCGAUAGCGAAGGCAGCUCACUAGGUCUGGAUUGACGCUCAGGGACGAAAGCGUGGGGAGCAAACAGGAUUAGAUACCCCAGUAGUCC
rnacentral:rRNA from 1 species